AGCCUGGGAUCUACCACACAUGGGAGGAGUGCAGUGCACAGGUUCAUCGCUACCCUGGUGCUCGGUUCAGUGCUUCAAAACAUGCCGUGCACCACGGCAUGUUGGCGUGGUGACAUGAACACGGCCCCCAGCCGUGUUAACACAGGCCGUGUUCAUUGACUCGGUCAAUGCUCCAAGUGACUUGAGCCAGACAGGAAGUAUUCCUCAAAUUACUGAUGUUGAUAUUGAAGCCAUGGAAGAAGAGGACGAAGACGAAGAUGAUGAUCCUGCUAAUGAGGAGCUUUUAGAUGAGAUGGAGUGAUAAGUAGAAUAUUCUAGAGAAUAUUCGUGUUUUCACCCGUGUUUAUCCGUGUUCAUUUCCGUGUUCUGUGUUCGUGUUCAAAAAAUUGAAUGCCGUGUUCGUGUU